CUGGCGGCGCGCCUACACAUGCAAGUCGAACGAGAAAGUCCGCAAGGAUGAGUAAAGUGGCGUACGGGUGAGUAACACGUGGAUAACCUGCCCUUUAGUGGGGAAUACCGCUGGGAAACCGGCGACAAUACCGCAUAAGCUCGAGAGAGGAAAGCAGCAAUGCGCUGAAGGAGGGGUCCGCGGCCGAUUAGCUAGUUGGCAGGGUAAAAGCCUACCAAGGCUGUGAUCGGUAGCCGGCCUGAGAGGGCACACGGCCACACUGGCACUGAAACACGGGCCAGACUCCUACGGGAGGCAGCAGUGGGGAAUCUUGCACAAUGGGGGAAACCCUGAUGCAGCGACGCCGCGUGAGCGAUGAAGCCCUUCGGGGUGUAAAGCUCUUUCGGCAGGGACGAUUAUGACGGUACCUGCAGAAGCAGCUGCGGCUAACUACGUGCCAGCAGCCGCGGUAAUACGUAGGCAGCAAGCGUUGUUCGGAGUUACUGGGCGUAAAGGGUGCGUAGGCGGCUUCUUAAGUCUGGUGUGAAAUCUCCCGGCUCAACUGGGAGGGUGCGCCGGAUACUGAGGGGCUAGAGUGUGGGAGAGGAAAGUGGAAUUCCUG
rnacentral:rRNA from 1 species